UUGAACGCUGGCGGCAGGCCUAACACAUGCAAGUCGAGCGGAUGAAGGGAGCUUGCUCCUGGCUUCAGCGGCGGACGGGUGAGUAAUGCCUAGGAAUCUGCCCGGUAGUGGGGGAUAACGUCCGGAAACGGGCGCUAAUACCGCAUACGUCCUGAGGGAGAAAGUGGGGGAUCUUCGGACCUCACGCUAUCAGAUGAGCCUAGGUCGGAUUAGCUAGUUGGUGGGGUAAAGGCCUACCAAGGCGACGAUCCGUAACUGGUCUGAGAGGAUGAUCAGUCACACUGGAACUGAGACACGGUCCAGACUCCUACGGGAGGCAGCAGUGGGGAAUAUUGGACAAUGGGCGAAAGCCUGAUCCAGCCAUGCCGCGUGUGUGAAGAAGGUCUUCGGAUUGUAAAGCACUUUAAGUUGGGAGGAAGGGCAGUAAGUUAAUACCUUGCUGUUUUGACGUUACCAACAGAAUAAGCACCGGCUAACUUCGUG
rnacentral:rRNA from 1 species